CUCUGACUGCUUUUCAUAUUCUAAUAAAAGAUUCUUCAAUAAAAGAAGGAUUUAACUUUGGUAUAUAAUUUUGCAUUCAACAGGUCAGACUUCAUCAUCAAGCCACCUUAAGAUUCAUGAGUCCAUUCUGGAUGCUUAAAAUAUUUACCCAAGUUGAACAGAAUACCUAACUGGCAUUAGAGAAAGACACUGUUGCUCAGUCUCUGCUUUUUCCAGAAGAAGAGCAUCCAGACGUUCAGUUAAUGCCUAUUUUAGAACAAGAUUUAUUUGCCUGGGGUUAAAAAAUGGUGGAUUGACCACAUGCGUAAUUAUCUCCUGACCUUUUCAAAACACACUGAAGUGAGAAUAAGAGAUUUUAAAAGGUAGAACACAUUGCGCAAAGAGAAAAGGAGAAAAGAUAUAAGGAUAAGAGAAAUUUCAACACAUCUUUGGAAAACUGAAUUACGGAGGAGGAUGAACUGAAUUAGAAGCAGGAAGAAAGCUAUAACCUAAGGACCUGCACAAGGAAACACAUGAGAACCUGGCAAAUAUUCUGCAGAACUGAAAUGCUCAGAAUUGGAGGCAACAGAUAUUGUUGAGGGAGGUGUCAUGUGUGGGGCUCAAAAAUUGGUGAUUGGUCAACAAUCUGAAUAGGGACCAGUCAGAGAGUAAGCAAGAAAUAAUCUAUGUCCUUCCUCCCUCAGAGACAGGUUAUUCUCUGCAGAAAUUAAAGAGGAAAUUAAUGAGAUGGAAAAAAAAAUCAAUAAGCCAAGAGUCAGCUCUUUUAACACAGCUAUCAAAAUAGACACCUUUUAAUAAAACUGAUCAAAAGACAGAAGUUCCAAAAAAUAAUACAGUGUAAAAGGAAGCAUAUCUAUGUAAGUCGGGGAUGGUGGCUCAUGCCUGUAAUCCUAGCACUUUGGGAGGCAGAGGUGGGCAGAUCACUUGAGGUCAGGAGUUCAAGACCAGCCUGGGCAACAUGGUGAAACUCUGUCUCUACUAAAAAAUACAAAGAAAAUUAGCUGGGUGUGGUGGUGGGUGCCUGUAGUCCCAGCUACCCUGGAGGCUAAGGCAGGAGAAUUGCUUGAACCCAGGAGGUGGGGGUUGCAGCGAGCCAAGAUCACUCCACUGUACUCCAGCCUGGGUGACAGAGCAAGACUAUGUGUCAAAAAAAAAAAAGAAAAAGAAAAUUAUUAUGAAUAACUAUUUGUCAAUAAUAAUGAAAACUCAAUGGAAAUGGAUAACAAUUCCUUUAAAAAUAAAGCUUUACUGACUCACAAAAAAUUUAAGAAGCAUAAUACUAUAUUUAAAAAUCAAAUAGUUAAAAAUUGUCCACCAAAGAAAACAGGAGGA
rnacentral:lncRNA from 10 species